rnacentral:rRNA from 1 species
AUUGAACGCUGGCGGAAUGCUUUACACAUGCAAGUCGAACGGCAGCACGGACUUCGGUCUGGUGGCGAGUGGCGAACGGGUGAGUAAUGUAUCGGAACGUGCCCAGUCGUGGGGGAUAACGUAGUGAAAAUUACGCUAAUACCGCAUACGUUCUAUGGAUGAAAGCGGGGAUCGCAAGACCUCGCGCGAUUGGAGCGGCCGAUAUCGGAUUAGGUAGUUGGUGGGGUAAAGGCCCACCAAGCCAACGAUCUGUAGCUGGUCUGAGAGGACGACCAGCCACACUGGAACUGAGACACGGUCCAGACUCCUACGGGAGGCAGCAGUGGGGAAUUUUGGACAAUGGGCGAAAGCCUGAUCCAGCCAUUCCGCGUGCAGGAUGAAGGCCCUCGGGUUGUAAACUGCUUUUGUACAGAACGAAAAGGUUUCUACUAAUACUAGGAGCUCAUGACGGUACUGUAAGAAUAAGCACCGGCUAACUACGUGCCAGCAGCCGCCGUAA